rnacentral:rRNA from 2 species
CAUCGAGUUUUUGAACGCAAGUUGCGCCCGAAGCUUUUGGCUGAGGGCACGUCUGCCUGGGCGUCACGC